AGCUCCAAUAGCGUAUAUUAAAGUUGUUGCAGUUAAAAAGCUCGUAGUUGGAUUUCUGGUGUGAGUGAUCGGUUCGACCUUAGGUGGAUACUCGAUCAUCUCAUACCAUCCUUGGGUCUAGCCUCGCUGGUAUUAAGUUACCGGCGUGUGCGAUGCCCAUCGUUUACUGUGAACAAAAUAGAGUGCUCUAAGCAGGCUUAUGCCGUUGAAUAUAUUAGCAUGGAAUAAUAAGAUAGGACUUUGGUGCUAUUUUGUUGGUUUGCGCAUCAAUGUAAUGAUAAAAAGGGACAGUUGUGGGUAUUUGUAUUUUUGUGUAAGAGGUGAAAUUCUUAGAUUACAAAAAGACAAACGAAUGCGAAAGCAUUUACCAAGGAUGUUUUCA
rnacentral:rRNA from 1 species